rnacentral:rRNA from 1 species
UACGAAGGGUGCAAACGUUGCUCGGAAUUAUUGGGCGUAAAGCGCACGUAGGCGGCAUUGCAAGUCGGAUGUGAAAUCCCUCGGCUUAACCAAGGAAGUGCAUCCGAAACUGCAGUGCUUGAGUACUUAAGAGGAUCGCGGAAUUCCCGGUGUAGAGGUGAAAUUCGUAGAUAUCGGGAGGAACACCAGUGGCGAAGGCGGUUCUCUGGGCCUUACCUGACGCUGAGGAGCGAAAGCAUGGGGAGCAAACAGG